AAGCUGCUGUGGCCACAGAAUGGGCCGGAGCUCAGCUCUGACCUUCAGAGGGCAGCAGGGCUGGGGCCGGGUGCUGGGCAGCUCCAGUCUGUGCAUCCUUACCUGACUCUUCAAAAUUUCUAGAACAUUUUCUCAUCUGCUCUCAUGAUUCCUGCCAGCUUUCAAACAGCAGUGCCAGCCUCACCUCCUCCACGAAGUGCUCCAGGACCGGCCCACUGCCAAGCCUCGGUCCGCACAGUGGCAAACAGGACCAGUACAGCACUUCUCCCCCCAGACUGAGCUGCUGAGCCCACUCCUCCCCCGUGCCGUGAUGCAGGCAGCACCGAAGCGGACGCAGUGCAGAGCAGCUCCAUCUUGCUCUCUGCUUUCAAGUUAGAAGGCCCCAGAAGGCCUCAGCAAUCCUGGACCUCAGAAGUGAUUUAAUAAAUAUCAUCUGCUGAGAAGUGUGGAGGUGACGGAUGGUCGGUCAUCCAAGGGGCUGCAGGAGACACAGAUGAGGAGUCCAGAGCAGAGUGGUGGUGCCAAGGGAGCAGAAGAUCCAAUGGACCAGCGAGGGAGGUUCCUGGGGAAGCUCCUGCAGUCUCUGACCUCUGGGCCUGAGCUCCAUCAGACAAUGACAGAGGCUUUCUACAGACAUCCAACUGGCACUGAGAGCACAAUGGCCUGCAAGGCAGAGAGGGAGGCUUACUUACUGGAAAUGCAGAGCAGCGUGUGCAAGAGCCACAUCCUAGGCCAGGCAGAGGCAGAAACAUCAACCUCAUGAGCAGUAAAGAAAGGCGGAGGAGCUGCCCCAGAUCAAAGGAGACCAAUGAGAGGGCAGCACUUGAUGCUGGACUGUAGACCGGAAAGGACUGGUCUAUCAUACUCAACAGCUGGUUAAG